rnacentral:rRNA from 1 species
AUUGAACGCUGGCGGCAGGCCUAACACAUGCAAGUCGAACGGUAACAGGAAGAAGCUUGCUUCUUUGCUGACGAGUGGCGGACGGGUGAGUAAUGUCUGGGAAACUGCCUGAUGGAGGGGGAUAACUACUGGAAACGGUAGCUAAUACCGCAUAACGUCGCAAGACCAAAGAGGGGGACCUUCGGGCCUCUUGCCAUCGGAUGUGCCCAGAUGGGAUUAGCUAGUAGGUGGGGUAACGGCUCACCUAGGCGACGAUCCCUAGCUGGUCUGAGAGGAGGACCAGCCACACUGGAACUGCGACACGGUCCAGACUCCUACGGGAGGCAGCAGUGGGGAAUAUUGCACAAUGGGCGCAAGCCUGAUGCAGCCAUGCCGCGUGUAUGAAGAAGGCCUUCGGGUUGUAAAGUACUUUCAGCGGGGAGGAAGGGAGUAAAGUUAAUACCUUUGCUCAUUGACGUUACCCGCAGAAGAAGCACCGGCUAACUCCGUG